rnacentral:rRNA from 1 species
UGAGUAACGCGUGAGUAACCUGCCUUUCAGAGGGGGAUAACGUUCUGAAAAGAACGCUAAUACCGCAUGAGACUACAGAGCUGCAUGGCUCAGUGGUCGAAGGAGCAAUCCGCUGAAAGAUGGACUCGCGUCCGAUUAGAUAGUAGGCGGGGUAACGGCCCACCUAGUCGACGAUCGGUAGCCGGACUGAGAGGUUGAACGGCCACAUUGGGACUGAGACACGGCCCAGACUCCUACGGGAGCAGCAUG